rnacentral:rRNA from 1 species
CAAUAGCGUAUAUUAAAGUUGUUGCGGUAAAAAAGCUCGUAGUUGGAUUUCUACCGAAGAUAGCCGGUCGCGUCUUCGACCUUGUAUCUGGUUUUGUCUUUGGUAUCCUCAUAGGGAACGUUUCUGCGCUUUAUUGCGUGGUGCGGUAUCUAUGACUUUUACUUUGAGGAAAUUAGAGUGUUCACGGCAGGCAAACGCCUUGAAUAUAUUAGCAUGGAAUAAUAACAUAGGAUCUUCGUCCUAUUUUGUUGGUUUCUAGGGCUAAGAUAAUGAUUAAUAGGGAUAAUUGGGGGCAUCUGUAUCAACGCGUCAGAGGUGGAAUUCUUGGAUUGCGUUGCGACAAACUACUGCGAAAGCAUUUGCCAAGGAUGUUUUCAUUGA